GUGAGGAAUUUUCCGCAAUGGGCGAAAGCCUGACGGAGCAAUGCCGCGUGAAGGAUGAAGGCCUAUGGGUUGUAAACUUCUUUUCUCAGAAAAGAAUUAUGACGGUAUCUGAGGAAUAAGCAUCGGCUAACUCUGUGCCAGCAGCCGCGGUAAGACAGAGGAUGCAAGCGUUAUCCGGAAUGAUUGGGCGGAAAGCGUCUGUAGGUUGUUUAAAAAGUAUUCUGUCAAAGAUUAGGACUUAACCCUAGAUAGGCAGAAUAAACUUUUAAGCUAGAGUUUGGUAGAGGCAGAGUGAAUUCCCGGUGGAGCGGUGAAAUGCGUAGAUAUCGGGAGGAACACCAAAGGCGAAGGCACUCUGCUGGGCCAAUACUAACACUGAGAGACGAAAGCGAGGGGAGCAAAUGGGAUUAGAAACCCUAGUAGUCC
rnacentral:rRNA from 1 species